rnacentral:rRNA from 1 species
GAUGAACGCUAGCGGCAGGCCUAACACAUGCAAGUCGAGGGAGAAGCCCUUUCGGGGGCAGAAACCGGCGCACGGGUGCGUAGCGCGUAUGCAACCUACCUUUCACAGGGGGAUAGCCCGAAGAAAUUUGGAUUAAUACCCCAUAAUAUUAUUUGAUGGCAUCAUUUGAUAAUUAAAACUGCGGUGGUGAAAGAUGGGCAUGCGUCCUAUUAGCUAGUUGGAGUGGUAACGGCACCCCAAGGCUACGAUAGGUAGGGGUCCUGAGAGGGAGAUCCCCCACACUGGUACUGAGACAGGGACCAGACUCCUACGGGAGGCAGCAGUGAGGAAUAUUGGGCAAUGGUCGGAAGACUGAACCAGCCAUGCCGCGUGCAGGAAGAAUGCCUUAUGGGUUGUAAACUGCUUUUAUAUGGGAAGAAUAAGGUGUACGUGUACAUUGAUGACGGUACCAUAUGAAUAAGCAUCGGCUAACUCCGUG